CUACGGGAGGCUGCAGUGGGGAAUAUUGGACAAUGGGGGAAACCCUGAUCCGGCAAUGCCGCGUGUGUGAAGAAGGCCUGCGGGUUGUAAAGCACUUUCGGUUGGGAGGACUGCUUCUAGCACUAAUAUUGUUGGAAGUUGACGUUACCUUCAGAAGAAGCACCGGCUAACUCCGUGCCAGCAGCCGCGGUAAUACGGUAGGGUGCAAGCGUUAAUCGGAAUUACUGGGCGUAAAGCGCGCGUAGGCGGCUAGAUCAGUCGGGUGUGAAAGCCCCGGGCUUAACCUGGGAACUGCAUCCGAUACUGUCUAGCUUGAGUACAGGAGAGGAGAGUGGAAUUCCACAUGUAGCGGUGAAAUGCGUAGAUAUGUGGAGGAACACCAAUGGCGAAGGCAGCUCUCUGGCCUGAUACUGACGCUGAGGUGCGAAAGCGUGGGGAGCAAACAGGAUUAGAUACCCCGGUAGUC
rnacentral:rRNA from 1 species